rnacentral:rRNA from 1 species
AUGUGUCUUUUUUUUGUAGUGUAUCUUUUAUUCUUUUCUUAUACCUUAUGCAAGAGUCAUGGUGAUCUUCACCUUUCCUUUUUACAUUUUAUCCUUUGGCAAGCACAUUGUGUUGGAAAGAUCCUGAUAUAUAUAUCCAAUUGGAUGUAA